UACGGAGGGUGCAAGCGUUAUUCGGAUUUAUUGGGCGUAAAGGGCGCGUAGGCGGCCGCUUAAGUCAGAUGUGAAAGCCCGGGGCUUAACCCCGGAAGUGCGUUUGAUACUGGGUGGCUUGAGUAUGGGAGAGGGAAGUGGAAUUCCUGGUGUAGAGGUGAAAUUCGUAGAUAUCAGGAGGAACAUCGGUGGCGAAGGCGACUUCCUGGACCAAUACUGACGCUGAGGCGCGAAGGCGUGGGUAG
rnacentral:rRNA from 1 species